UAAGGUACGCACGUCUCACAUCUGCAUGUUGUUCCUGGUUCAUAAAACAUCAGUGCUUCCAGCUUCCUCCUGAGGCCCUGUCCAGAUAUCACUUUAACACUCCAGACUUUAUGGUUGCUCAACUUGUUUAAUGGAUGCCAAGUUCUGGCCCAGAGUCCUAUCACAUUGUUCAGCUUAUAUUGCUUUGCUUCCAUUGUAUGAUCCUCAUCAGACAGCAGUGGUGGCAGUGAUCAGGUUCCUCAGUGACUAAAUAGAAUGUGGCUAAAUAGAAAUGUUCCAUUCAAGUUUUAAAACACGUUCUCUGUGUGUAUGAAGGAAACCUGACAGCAAAAAGCAUAGUCGCAUGGUACAGUCAUACUGAACAAAAAUGCACAGAGACAUCAGCUCAGGCCAAUGGAAAGCACUCAGAUUUAUAUAUGUAUAUUUUUAUUGUAGUCUUCAUCCUGUGUCUAUUCGAUAUUGUAACGUUUUGGUUGCAUUUAUGUCACUAAACUGAACUACAUACAGGAAUAUUCCCUGAUAAAUAUGUAGCCUCUUAGAAUCCCCUGUGAAUGCCUGCAAAGGCACUGUGCUGGUCUGCAAGUCCGGCAUCUGGGCUGGUGGAAGCGGAUCCCAAGAGUACAGUCUCCACCUCACCUUUGGGCUGUGUGUCAUUCUUCUCCUGCAGUGUCAUGUCAUCCUGCAAGAACAGUCUAGGUGAGAGACUGUUUUCUCAUGUGCUGAAGUUCUGCUCAGGCCAUCCUCUUCAACCAUAGAAUCUGAACUAAGGUUUCUUCUGAUGUGGGAAAACUGAGGUUUAAACCUCACUGUUUCUCAUGAGAGAGAGGGGUAUUGAGUACUGGGAAAGAUUAGAAACCUGCCUGCAGACGUGAGGCAAUGUAUGUAUGGUCAGGAAACGUGUGAUAACAGAUGGGAGUGUGGAAGAGGAGAGUCUGCAGUGCUUCCUUGACCAAGAACCUCCUAUGGCAACGGUAGCAGGUAAAACUGCAGCAGCCAGAUUGUCUGCUGGCAAUCAGCCAUGGCCCACGGGGACCUCUGCUCCAUGCCAUGGCUGGCACCAGGAUGGAAAGUACAGUGACGUGCCAGCUGAGAUUGACUCUGGCAGGCACAAAGGUUGCCUGUGCAGCCCAGAUGCACCAGUCUUCCUCUGCUAACCAGAGCAUGUUGUAGCACUUUAAAGAAUGGUACCAUACGCCUGCGAUACAUCACAUGUUCCUCUCACACACUCCUGGGAACAAGGAGCAAUAGCAACAAGAAUGACCUUUGGGCUUAUGUGAUGCCCUUGAGUGCAGCAAACACCACAGUGUCCCUUUCCCAGCACCCUCUUCAAUCUUCUAACAAUUUCACCCUCUUACCCCAUGCGAGCCCAUGACUUUCCCAGGGGCAGUAACUGCCAUAGCCCGUCCCUUCUUCCAUUGCAUGUGAGACUGCUGGGACUCUGCCAUAUUCUGGAACCCAUCUCAGACAAGAUCCUCUGUGGCACAGAGAAAAAGGCAUAAACAGACCAGGACGGAAUAAUGUAAGGAAUUCAUUUGUAAGAAAAAACUGGCUGCCAGAGGAAUGCACAUUUGUUGUGCAGUGCUGAAGAAAAUGUCGCAGGUAGAGAAGGUGCAGGUGAAGGUCUGCACAUUGACAAGGGGAAUAUACACAAAGUCUGUCCAGGGAGAAAGGCAAAUCUAAUCAUUUUGAAAAAUGUUAGUAGGAUGGCUGCAAGGAAUCAGCAGAUUCAUGCUGUGUUUUGAGUGCUGUGGCAGAACUAGCCCUAGCUUGGGCCAAAUGCACACAGGCAGCCUCAUCUACUCUUCUGUCUUCAGGUCUUGGGAGGGCAAUGGAGCUGGGCUGGGCUUCCAGGUGUUGGAAGUCCCAUUUUAUCCACUGUCAUUUUGCUGCUAGGCUGGUGAUGGUGCACAAACUUUUUACCACGUUGCUGUUCAGCCUUUGCCUCUGAGCUUAUUGCUUCAUGAUAUCCAAAGCAGUAGCCUGCUGCACCCAUAAAAAUAAAAUCAAAUAAGUAGGAUUUAAUUAACACCAACUCAAAUAUAGGCAUACUUAUAUAACAUAAUUGUUAUAACAUAUAAGCAUUUCUGUACCCAGUGGUCCAGUAAAAAAUCCUGCUGCAAUCACUUGAAACGUGUCCGUGUGCCUUAUGCCAACCACACAAGGCCCCUGCCCUGGUCUGUUAUGCUUGCUAUCAAACUGUUACGAAAGGUUGCUGUGUGAACUGCAGUUAGGAACCAAAUGUUCUUUAGGUAUCAAAUGUCCUUUGUUAUGACAUAAGAGACUAUGCUUGGAAUAAGAGCAAAGUUCAGAAAUGGCCCAAUUUAUCACUCUUCUAAGCAGUCCUACCACAGUGAUCUCUAAUUCCCUAAAUGGUAUACCUGCAUGUAACUGCACAAGUUAUUUGCACAGAUUUGUAUUUCUCUGUGGUGUGUGAUUCCUGCCAAAUGAUGGUGUGGCACAGGGUAAUAGUGUGUAAGCAACAUCUGCUGUAAAAUGGCAAUCAGACUGCAUACAAACUGGCAUCUGUGGGCAAGCAAAGGAUGCUAUUUCAGCCUUUGGAGAGCAUUGCACUCAAACACACAGAAUGGUUGAUAUAGAUGCUGGCAGUGUUCAUGAAUCUUGCUUGAUGGCCCCUGAGGCUUACAGCUAUAGACAGAACAAGUCCUUGCAGUUAAUGUUUGACCGAUUCCUUGCAGAUAACACCAAAAUGAAACAGGAAUCACCCUGAGAGCCCCUGCCCAGUUGGAGAGAUUACACUACACAGUUCUGAUAGCAUGGGCUUGAGUGGUUCUCUCUGUUGUGACAUGGCCUAUUGGAUUUCUCCACCAACCAGUUGCACAGGUGCCAAUAAGAGCCAGGACUAGCAAGAGUCCAUGAAGUUAACACAACUCUUUUCUUCACCAGGGCUUCCAGAAUGUGAUAUCUGGCAUGCAGUGGCUGGUGCCACAUAUUUGCACGUGCCUGUGCCCAUUGCUGUAGCCAACUUCUCAUGCAGAGAUCACUGCAUAAUCACUGGCAAGAAUAGCUAAGUUUGUAUUUUAUGUAGAGCUCACUUUUGUCAAUUCAUCCCCAAAAAAUAGAUUUAUGUUACUUGUAAGAAAAAAAAACAUAUUAAAUUGAAAAUUAUCUGAACAAAUACAUUAUCACAUGGCACAAAACUACAUAACAAUGAUCUGUAAGAUCCUGGAAACUGUAUCUGCCAUGAGGAAAGCAAGCCAUUUACCACGGGUCAAAGAGACUGUUUUCUUCUCUUCUAGUUAGUGGAACAGUCUCAGAAAUCACUGCAGAAAUCAUCUUCAUCUGAACUCAGUUUCAAAAAGCCAGGAAGUCUGUUGAGCAGCUAGAUUUAGGCAUGGAAUAGUUUCAGUGACUUAAAGAAAAAACAUUCCUGGAACGCUAUCCAUUGCCUAAAAAUCUUUGCCCCUUUCCCCCUCUUCUCUCUAACCACCUCCUCUCCCCAGUUUUUUGGCUAUAUUAUUCAUCAGGUAAUCAUCAAUAUUGUCUUUUUUCUGCUGGUCAGUGGGAUUUUGACAUGAUACCAAGAGUGUCUUCCUUGAUGUAUUUCUUGAAUCAUUUUCAGAAAAAAAAAAAAAAAAAAAAAAAGCCUGGCUUAUGGAAGAUAAGAUAGAAUGUACAAAGUAAAUGUAGAACUUGGAGUGGUGUCAGUUUUUCACUUCUGUCCGUGAUCAGAAACAAGAUGACCAAAUCAGUUGGUCACUGACUGAUUCACUGGUAUGUAAGGAACAUAUCUUAGCAGUGCUGUCAUUCAAUGCAGACCUUAGCAGCUGCAGCAGAGUAGCUUGUAUAAUCAUCAGCCACAAAAGCAAACACCAUUGCUGUAGAAAUCUGAAGCAGCGUCUAGGAAAUACAUCUUCCUCUGUGCAUCCUGAAAAUUCAAAUUAUUUCUAACCCACUGUUGAUUGAUUUUGUGAUUAUUACUAAUUACUGUGUGAUAAUUUUCUAAUCUUUUAUGCAAAAAAUAAGGGCUUCAGGCAGUUUUUUUGCAGUACUGUGUGAAGAUCUGACAGUCAUGGUUAGUGUGCACCAUCUGUAGAAUUCACUGUUGGGUUCCUCUUUACUUUAGGCAAUAAUUUUCUUCAUGUCUAGUGGAAACUUACUUAGCGCAACAACUAGAUGUCUGGAAGAAGAAUCUGAUGAUUCAUCUGGCUUUAAAAAAAGACCCAAAGGAUGUCAUUUGUACCUCUGAACCACAAAAGAAUAAGUGGACAGAGGACAGAUUACAAGUGAAGCACUCAUUUCUUCUCUCGAGGUCUGCUUUCCAUCAUCUUAAACUGAUUAGGACAAGUUGUAACAAAUGGCUUGCUUGUUUGUUUUGAUGAGUUUUUAAAAUGUAGAUGGUUUAUAAACUGAAGUUAC